GCUCUCUCACCAUGAUCUGAGAUCCACUCACUUUUUUUUCCCUCCCCAGGCUUAUGGAAGGAGAGAAAUCCACAUCAGCAGAUAGCCUGGACGAGUCCCAUGAAUCAGGCACACCUCUCCGGCAAUUUCAAUCAUUUGAAUAAUGAUAUUCAUAUUCAUGGCACAUAAGACCCUUCCAUCAGCUGAGAAUUGUCGCUAAGACUCCUAUGGAAUGCCAAUAAGGACAUCGAGAUCUUUUGAUGAUGCUGUGGCUUGGAAGGUGCUGCAGCAGAUGAACCACGGGGUUCCAGGUCAGCAGAAGGUAUUGAGGGCUCCUGUGUACCAGGUACGGUUCUUGUUGCUGGAGGUGUUCACAGAGCUUCCUGGCAUCUACUAUCUUGCAGAAGACACAGAAGAUAAAACUUCUAUCAAAAGGUAUGUGCUCCCCCAAAUUGAAAGCAGGGUCUCAGAGAUAUUUGUACACUCACGUUCAUAUCAGCAUGACUGACAACCGCUGAAAGGUGGAAGCCAUCAGAUGAUCCUCAGCAGAUGAAUGGAUACACAAAUGUGGUGUCUACAGACAAUGGAAUACUCGUCACCCUUGAAAGGGAAGGACCUUGACACGGGCUACAGCAUGGAUGAACCUUGAAGACGUUAUGGUAAGUGAAACAAGCCAGUCACAAAAAGACAAUUGCUACAUGAUUCUACUUCCAGCAAGUGUCUCC